rnacentral:lncRNA from 1 species
GUGUUUGUGGUAUUUUCUAUUCCCUCCAUACCGGAGAUGAGCUAGGUUUCCGAAUAAUUGUUCGUUUAUACGAGUUUUAGAUCUGCAGAAUUCAGUUCGAGUGAAGCAGAUUUGAGAUUUGGUUCUAAAUGCAGGCUACAGGGAUUGGAAUUUCCGGUGAUCCCGCCUCAUAUUGCGACCGGAAAAGGCUUUGAAGCCCUUCGAUGCCAUGACAUGUGUGGAGAGCUAGGCCAUUAGUAAAGUUGCAAAAUGGGCAUGGGUGCCACUUUUAGAAGGCAUAUAGCUAAACCAACUAUGGUAUGCAGUUGAAUUUAAAGUGCUUUGAAACCUUUUUAGUCUUGUCUUACGGAGCCUCGCUAUUUUUAUUGAAAGGCGUCUUGCGCUUGUUCUUUUUUGCUUGCGGGCAAGCCUUGGUUAUAAGAUAGAAAGUUAUAGCUUUUGUAAAACUCAUUAAACUCUGGUUGAAAGAUGUCAUCCUUGCUGU